UGACUAGAUGGAAUGCCCACAAAUAGUUCAAAUGCGCAAAUGCUUUGAAAAUUCAGAAGUAGUAGGAAACAUUACAUCUGAAGUCCCAGGAUAUUUCAUGUUAAACUGUGUGGCUGGAAUUAGUGUGCAAGCUGAUGAAUUAACCUCUGGUGCAUUUGGAAAUGUUACCCUGAUGUACAUUUAAAUGGCUCACAUGAAGCACCAGGGAUUGAAGAUGGAGUGGAGAACAUCAUUGAAUGUGUGCCCCCAUCCUGCUUGAUCUUAUGGAUCAGAGAAGAAAAUAAACAAUGUUCCCUGUAGCAGGAAGAAAGAGCCUCCUGGGCGGGCGAAACUGCGUCCACAUGCCUCCUUUCCCAGUAAGAUGUUGGGAAGUUCGCAUCUGCACUCGGGGCUUCCUUCCUCCGCUCUGUGAGGUCCUCGGUUGUCUACCUCUCCGGGAGGGAGAAUGGAAUGAGAUGAUGCUGGGAGAUGCUUGGCCGGUGGCGGGAAUCACUCGGCGACUGCUCCUUCCUUCCUCCUACUUCUCCUUUACGCUUGUUGUUCAAGUUACUGUUUUCUCAGAACACAGGAAUUACA